rnacentral:rRNA from 1 species
UGCAGUCGAGCGAAUCUCGAGGGAUCUUUCCCUUGCGAUUAGCGGCGGACGGGUGAGUAACACGUGGGCAACCUACCUGUAAGCCUGGGAUAACUUCGGGAAACCGGAGCUAAUACCGGAUAAUUUCUUUCUUCACAUGAAGAGAGGUUGAAAGACGGCUUUGCUGUCACUUACAGAUGGGCCCGCGGCGCAUUAUCUAGUUGGUGAGGUAACGGCUCACCAAGGCCACGAUGCGUAGCCGACCUGAGAGGGUGAUCGGCCACACUGGGACUGAGACACGGCCCACACUCCUACGGGAGGCAGCAGUAGGGAAUCUUCCGCAAUGGACAAAAGUCUGACGGAGCAACGCCCCGUGAGUGAAGAAGGUCUUCGGAUCGUAAAACUCUGUUAUCAGGGAAGAACAAGUACCGGAGUUACUGCCGGUACCUUGACGGUACCUGACCAGAAAGCCACGGCUAACUACGUGCCACCACCCGCGGUAAUACAUAUGUGGCAAGCGUUGUCCGGAAUUAUUGGGCGUAAAGCGCGCGCACGCGGUUCUUUAAGUCUGAUGUGAAAUCUUGCGGCUCAACCGUGAGCGGUCAUUGGAAACUGGAGAAC